AACAGUAGUCUCUGUUAAGAGCAGCAGCCUUUAAAACGGAGGCCUAGAUUAUGUGAACGUAUGUCUCACUUUUAUGUAUGGUGUAUAGUGUAAGUGUUUGAAACUUUUCAGCUUCAUUUUCAUAGCAGCUGAUUCCCUGCAUCCCAGACUUCUGUAAGAUUCACUGUAUUUACUUGGAAUCUUUAAAAUUAUAUGAAGAAGGUAAAAAAAAUCCUUUCCUUUUGUAGAGCAUCUUUUUAGGAGCAGACAUUUUCAUAUUUUUUUGCCAGUGUUCUGAGCGCUUUGUUUUACUUUUAAUGUAGUAACUCAAAGUAAAUUUUACAGACUCACAGGCUCAGCUAUCUGAAAUAUGAUCAUCUGUCAGAAGCCCUCAGUGGGACAAUUACAGCCCCCACAUCCUCCCACAGCAAACAUGAUUAUGGGAGAAGAAUGCUUGAGGCCUGCAAGUGAGAUUAGUAAAUGUGAAGUACUCUUGCUUCAGUCUUCACAAAAUCACCUGCUACAAGUCUUGGUAAUGAGAUAGCAAUAUCAGGACUGGAGGUUGGUUACAAAUAGAACCUGUGUCAUCUUAAACUACUUAACAGCAAUGGAUGAAAUAUGUGAGAGUUUCACUAAUUCAUAAUUUAGUAAUCAAGCAUUUUAUAAUUUGCCUGAGAAGAAAUUGCAUCUUAUCUUCGUCCGUCAGUGAAGAUUUAAGAGCUAUGUGCCCUGAGCUUUCAUUUCAGCAACAGUUCUUUCCCAAAACACAACCCCAUGCAUAUUUAUGAAUGUUUUAUAGAAUAGAAGUAUAACUUCGUUCUUAGGAUUUCCCAGCAAGUCUCAGAAGUUUUUACUAUUAACUAGUUUAUUCUUUGCAUAUGCACACAGUACAUUUUGUCCUCUGCUAUAUUAUCCUUGAGGUAUUUGUAUGUAAUGGAAAAUAAAAUGCUUAAAUGUAGCCAAGUGCUUGAAUUCACAGGUCUUGAAUGCUACUGGGAAUCCAGCCUUGUGUUUUGACUCACAGCCUUCUCUCUACCAGUAACAGUUCUUCUUGACUGGUGAACUACUAAACCCAAACUGAAAUCACCAAUCAUUUGCAAACCUAGAAUACAGUUCACUUUCAAGUUGCACCAGAAAUCUUUCAUUUGGUAAUCUUCAUUAACAUAGAUUCACUAAUGCCAGAUCUUGGGCAAUCUACAGGUGAUGAUGAGAUGUACAUCCUCGCAAAGUGUCUGAUGGUUCAUCAAACAUUUGCAGAAGGCUUGUUUUUCCAGACACAGGUAAGAUGGACAUGGAGAUUGGAGAUGUAAAAAUGCAUGGUGGAGUGCACAGUGCUUUUGAAAUCUGCUGAUGGAAGAACUGUGCUGUGAGCCAUGUCCUGUAAGCUGCAGAACAGCAAGUUAAGGUAAUAGCGUGUGUUGACACAUCAUGGUUCAACUGUGAUACAGUUGAACCAUGAUGAACAAAGGGAAGUUAUUUUUUUUCUACUUGGCUGCUCAGCACACAAGCACAGACUGAUGGGCAAAGCUGGAAAAAGGUAUGUCUUUGAGAUAAAACAGAGCAGCUUAUUUAGCAGAGAAGCAAGAGGUGAGUUUUACUUUACAUUCUUAAGGGACAAGGUUGAGGAAAUCCCCUAACGUUGUUAGCAUGGCACAACAUCGUGUGUUUGAAGACUUGCAGAAAGGUAUCUCAUGUGAUGACUAAUCUCAGUUAUCUUUUUCUAUUUGUUCAUCACCAGAACUGUGGUGUCUGGGGACAGCUGGUGUUCCAUGGCCUAAGCCAUUCUAUGUUUGUUUGUUCCAUCCAGCUAGGAUGGCAGUGAAGCUAAACCUGGAGAGUAGAGUCUUGUUCCUAAUGAGCUGAGAACAGUAGGACUUGUCAAGGUGAGUUGUCUGAUAACUGUGGACCUCCUUGAGGAGAUGAUAAUUGUACUUUGGUCUGAACAGAAAGA